GGAGGAACGUGAGGCGGCCACCCACCUGUUUAUUCAACACACAUCUGCCGGGCACCUGCCCGGCUCCAUGCUCCAGACACAAAGUGGCCGACCAGGAAGCCAGAGUCCCUGUGGCGUGGAGCCUACGUCCUACUGUAGGCAGACAACAGAAACACCACACGGUUCCAGGGUGUGACAUCUGCCAUAAAGAGGGUGGAGAAAAGUGGUGUGGUCGAGGCCUGCGUGGGGGUGGGGAGGGGUGGAGUGAUCCAGGCAGGGGGUUCCACAGGUGCAAAGGGCUGGGUGCUGGACGAAGCUGAAGGCUGUUGGAGGACCAGGGAGGAGGGCAGAGUCUUGGAGGCCUAGGUCAAGUGAUGAGCAUGAAGCCUCUGGGGCCCAUGCGGUCUGUGGGUGGGGAGGCUGUUAAGAGCUGGAUCCAGGCCGGGGAGGGCAGGGGUCCCAAACACCAUCUUGGACCCAUCGGGGCUAGCCAUUUUCCCUCCAUUUUCUUUUUUUCUUUUUUUUUUUUUUUUUUUGAGACUGAGUUUUGCUCUUGUUGCCCAGGCUGGAGUGCAGUGGUGCGAUCUCAGUUCACAACCUCUGCUUCCCAGGUUCAAGCGAUUCUCCUGCCUCAGCCUCCCGAGUAGCUGGGAUUACAGGCAUGCACCACCAUGCCCAGCUAAUUUUUGUAUUGUUAGUAGAGAUGGGGUUUCUCCAUGUUGAUCAGGCUGGUCUUGAACUCCCGACCUCAGGUGAUCCGCCCGCCUCGGCCUCCCAAAGUGCUGGGAUUACAGGCGUGAGCCACCGCGCCCGGCCAUUUCCUUCCAUUUUCAUUCAACUGGGGGAAGCACAGCAAAAAAUACCCUCUCCUUUUCCCUCUCAAGCAGACAUGCCCGAGAGGUUGCCCAGCAGGCCUGCAGCAGAUGCAGGACUAGAACCCAGGCCUCCGCCUCCAAG
rnacentral:lncRNA from 10 species